GACGAACGCUGGCGGCGUGCUUAACACAUGCAAGUCGAACGGAAAGGCCCUGCUUUUGUGGGGUGCUCGAGUGGCGAACGGGUGAGUAACACGUGAGUAACCUGCCCUUGACUUUGGGAUAACUUCAGGAAACUGGGGCUAAUACCGGAUAGGAGCUCCUGCUGCAUGGUGGGGGUUGGAAAGUUUCGGCGGUUGGGGAUGGACUCGCGGCUUAUCAGCUUGUUGGUGGGGUAGUGGCUUACCAAGGCUUUGACGGGUAGCCGGCCUGAGAGGGUGACCGGCCACAUUGGGACUGCGAUACGGCCCAGACUCCUACGGGAGGCAACAGUGGGGAAUAUUGCACAAUAGGCGGGAGCCUGAUGCAGCAGCGCCGCGUGCGGGAUGACGGCCUUCGGGUUGUAAACCGCUUUCGCCUGUAACGAAGCGUGAGUGACGGUAAUGGGUAAAGAAGCACCGGCUAACUACGUG
rnacentral:rRNA from 1 species